rnacentral:rRNA from 1 species
GGCGAUCAGAUACCCGCCCUAGUUCUGACCGUAAAGGAUGCCAACUAGCGAUUCCGCCGGCGGAUUCAUUCGCCCUGGUGGGGAGCUUCCCGGAAACGAAAGUCUUCCGGUUCCGGGGGAAGUAUGGUUGCAAAGCUGAAACUUAAAGGAAUUGACGGAAGGGCACCACCAGGAGUGGAGCCUGCGGCUUAAUUUGACUCAACACGGGGAAACUCACCCGGCCCGGACACCGUAAGGAUUGACAGAUUGAUAGCUUUUUCAUGAUUCGGUGGAUGGUGGUGCAUGGCCGUUCUUAGUUCGUGGAGCGAUUUGUCUGGUUUAUUCCGAUAACGAGCGAGACUCUGGCCUACUAAAUAGUUGGCACAUUGCCACUGUGUGCACAACUUCUUAGAGGGAUUUUCGGUGUUCAGCCGCACGAAAUUGAGCAAUAACAGGUCUGUGAUGCCCUUAGAUGUCCGGGGCUGCACGCGCGCUACACUGGCAAAAUCAGCGUGCUUGUCCUCCCCCGAAAGGGGUUGGUAAACCGAUGAAAAUUUGCCGUGAUUGGGAUCGGACAUUGCAAUUAUUGUCCGUGAACGAGGAAUCCCUUGUAAGGGCGAGUCAUCAACUCGUCCUGAAAUACGUCCCUGCCCUUUGUAA